GCGGCAGCUUUCCGGUAGUGAUCACACAAUCAGUGGGUGACGAACUGCCGCAUCGCGUUUAGCGUAGUGUCAGUUAAACUUCGUUCGCAGUGCUGGGCGGUUGUGUUUUAGACGUGAUCAGUUUUACGGUUCUGACUAAUUAACCAAUAUUUUUUAAGUUAAAAUGACGGCCGUUAACGACAAAACUGCGCACAUAACUGAAUACUAAUGUGAAUAAGUGCAAUAUGUAUGUGUACAUAUACAUAUGUUAAAUACGUGUUGAAUUAUUGAACUAAAAAUUAGUUCAGCUUCAUUUCGUGUCGCGUUUCGACCAUUUUCAACCGCUACAGACAUAUACUAAAUCGCGAACGUUUAUGUGCAAAGUGAAUUCAAUCUAUCCCAGUUCAUUCAGUUGCAUAGAAGUAACAGGCUGCGCCAAAUCCAGUUACCAACGACUGCAAUCGUAUUCUUCGAAUUGUUAAAUAAAAAUCCAAAAUCAAAUCACAUCGAGUAUCCAGUCUGAAGUUAUUGUUUUCGUACAAACUCGAUUACAGAACUGAGCAGAAGAAGUCGGAAAUUGAUCAAAAAUUGUGAUAGUGGCUGUGGGAUUAUAAAUGACGUCAUAUAAUAAUUUAAGGAGAGGAGAUACCGCGACGAAAGGAUUCGAAGACUACUUCUCAAUCAAUUCAAGGCGAAGUCGAACAUCACCCAUUGAAAACGAUCGGCAACAAGCAAUUGAUAUAUUUGCCAGUAAAAUGUGCUCCUGUCACCAAUAUUCAGUAUUCAUAGGUUUAGCCAUAUUAUUAGCCGUAAUCUGUAAUGUCAGCAGCAGCCCCGUGCAGACGACCACGCAGGCCGAGAUUUAUCUAUCGCAAUUCGGCUAUCUACCCGCUUCAGCUCGUAAUCCUGCCAAUGGAGGUCUGCUCGAUGCAAGUACAUGGACUAAAGCUGUGCAAGAUUUCCAAAGUUUUGCCGGCCUUAAUGUAACGGGAGAUUUGGAUAAUGAGACUUUGGAAUUAAUGUCACUGCCGCGAUGUGGCGUGCGAGAUAAGGUGGGCUUUGGCACCGAUAGUCGCUCAAAACGUUAUGCUCUGCAGGGAAGUCGAUGGCGGGUAAAAGCUCUGACCUAUAAAAUUUCGAAGUACCCGAAACGUCUUAAGCGCAAUGAUGUUGAUGCCGAAAUAGGCCGCGCCUUCAGUGUAUGGAGUGAUUUUACAGAUCUAUCAUUUACUCCCAAAGCUUCAGGACCCGUUCAUAUCGAAAUUAAGUUUGUUGAAAGCGAACAUGGUGAUGGCGAUGCAUUUGACGGUGUUGGGGGCACACUAGCACAUGCAUUCUUCCCUGUUUUCGGUGGAGACGCUCAUUUUGACGAUGCCGAAUUAUGGACGAUCGGAUCACCACGUGGAACGAAUCUUUUCCAAGUGGCUGCCCACGAAUUUGGUCAUUCGUUAGGUUUGUCGCAUUCAGACGUCCGCUCUGCGUUGAUGGCACCUUUUUAUCGAGGGUUCGAUCCAGUAUUUAAACUUGAUUCCGACGAUGUUUUGGCUAUACAGGCUUUGUAUGGUAAAAAAACUGGCGGAGUGGGCGAUCGUGGUGGAUUCCCGAAAAGUACCCAAAGGCCGGUCUAUGCUCCUCCAAAAGCGCCCCGAGACGACCUCAUUUGCAAGGACCCAAAAGUGGACGCUCUAUUUAACUCGGCCGAUGGGCAGACAUAUGCUUUCAAGGGCAACAAGUACUACAGACUCACCGAAAACUCUAUUGCAGACGGUUAUCCCAAACUUAUUUCGGAGGGCUGGCCUGGUUUACAAGGUGAUAUCGAUGCUGCGUUCACAUACAAGAAUGGAAAAACCUACUUUUUCAAGGGUACCAAAUACUGGCGGUACAAUGGGCGACAAAUGGAUGGUGAUUAUCCAAAGGAAAUCAGCGAAGGCUUCACCGGUAUCCCAGAUCAUUUGGAUGCUGCUAUGGUAUGGGGCGGCAACGGAAAAAUUUACUUCUACAAAGGCAGCAAAUUCUGGCGUUUCGACCCAUUAAAACGACCGCCUGUGAAAUCCAGUUAUCCGAAACCUAUUUCAAACUGGGAGGGCCUGCCCAACAAUAUUGAUGCUGCAUUACAGUACACCAAUGGAUAUACGUACUUUUUCAAGGGUGACAAGUACUACAGAUUCAACGACAGGACAUUUUCGGUCGAUGCAGCAAAUCCACCAUUCCCACGACCAUCUGCCCACUGGUGGUUCGGCUGUAAAAAUGUUCCUUCAUCGACAGGUAAUAUUCUUGAAAAUGAUGAAGAAUCGCGUUUGCAUUCAGCAUACAACAAUGACGAAAAUGACGAGUCACUACAAUUCGAUGCAGACGAAACCCCUGAAAGACGGAAUAUUCCUGGUUGGAUGUGGAGCAUAGCGAAUUCGUUCUUUUAACAAUAUUUAUUCAAAACAUUAAGUGCGAUCUUUUAUGCACAUUUAGAUAUGAUAACAGAAGAGUUGAUCUAAAUUUAUAAUUCGAAUAACAUAACAGUAAUAGGGCCUAUAAAAACCGAAAGUAAGUUAAUUGUGUGUACUUAUGCGGAAAGGUAGCAGUUUAAUUGUACAUAUGUACAUAUGUGCCGUGCAGCAAAAAAUUAUGCCGGUUAAGCCAUAACUAUUGCAAGUGGUCAGAGCAUCCAGCUCGUCAGUUAGCCAGUGUCACCAUGUCAUCCAGCUUUAACAGUCAUCAACACAUAGUGCUUAUUGUUUUCGUCCAAGCGCAGCAGUGGCAACAGCUCAAUCCGCAGUGCUUCGUGUAAAGCUUCUGUUCUGAAGGGGGAAAACACCGAUUGGCUUUGUGAUGGCACCGUAUCCGUGCAGUAACCAGGCUAACCUGUGCAACAUAAGUACUCGUAUUCCCAAUAAACAUCACAGCAUCACACUAAUGAUAGAAAACGAAAUGAUGACCAUCAAGCGCACGACGAAUCCCCGGAAGCUGAUGCCUCAAGACAAAGCAAUUCCGCCCGGAAAUUUCAAGGAG
rnacentral:misc_RNA from 1 species